rnacentral:tRNA from 1 species
AUUUGGAUAACUUAAAAUUUAGAGUUUUAUAUUUAAAAUAUAAAGGUAAUAAUAAAUUAUUUUUAAAUA